rnacentral:rRNA from 1 species
UACGUAGGAGGCAAGCGUUGUCCGGAAUCACUGGGCGUAAAGCGCGUGUAGGCGGAUCGCUAAGUCUGUGGUGAAAGCGCCUGGCUUAACCGGGCGAGGUCCAUGGAAACUAGCGGUCUGGAGGCCAGUAGAGGGGGGUGGAAUUCCGGGUGUAGUGGUGAAAUGCGUAGAGAUCCGGAGGAACACCAGUGGCGAAGGCGGCCCCCUGGGCCGCGCCUGACGCUGAGACGCGAAAGCGCGGGGAGCGAACGGG